UAGGGUUUAGUGUAGUCUGCACACGGAAUUGUCGACUCCAGAGCGCCAAUUGGCAACCCUAU
rnacentral:tRNA from 1 species